GAUGAAACGCUAGCGACAGGCUUAACACAUGCAAGUCGAGGGGCAGCGGGGUAGCAAUACCCGCCGGCGACCGGCGCACGGGUGAGUAACGCGUAUGCAAACUUACCUAUCAGAGGGGGAUAACCCGGCGAAAGUCGGACUAAUACCGCAUGAACGCAGGGAUCCCGCAUGGGAAUAUUUGCUAAAAGAUUCAUCGCUGAUAGAUAGGCAUGCGUUCCAUUAGGCAGUUGGCGGGUAACGGCCCACCAAACCGACGAUGGAUAGGGGUCUGACGAGGAAGGUCCCCCACAUUGGUACUGAGACACGGACCAAACUCCUACGGGAGGCAGCAGUGAGGAAUAUUGGUCAAUGGCCGAGAGGCUGAACCAGCCAAAGUCGCGUGAGGGAUGAAGGUUCUAA
rnacentral:rRNA from 1 species